rnacentral:rRNA from 1 species
GUGGGGAAUCUUCCGCAAUGGACGAAAGUCUGACGGAGCGACGCCGCGUGAGUGAAGAAGGCCUUCGGGUCGUAAAGCUCUGUCAUCAGGGACGAACGGCCGGUGGAGUGGAAAGCCACCGGAUUGACGGUACCUGAGAGGGAAGCCACGGCUAACUACGUGCCAGCAGCCGCGGUAAUACGUAGGUGGCAAGCGUUGUCCGGAAUUAUUGGGCGUAAAGCGCGCGCAGGUGGGAUCUUAAGUCCAUUUUUAAAGUUCGGAGCUCAACUCCGUGAUGGGAUGGAAACUGGGAUUCUUGAGUGUCGGAGAGGAAAGUGGAAUUCCAAGUGUAGCGGUGAAAUGCGUAGAGAUUUGGAAGAACACCAGUGGCGAAGGCGACUUUCUGGACGAUGUCUGACGCUGAGGCGCGAAAGCUAGGGGAGCGAACGGGAUUAGAAACCCUGGUAGUCC